GACAGGGGUCUCGAGCGUUAAUCGGAAUCACUGGGCUUAAAGGGUGCGUAGGCGGGCCUGUAAGUGUCCUGUGAAACCCCCCGGCUCAACCGGGGAACUGCGGGGCAUACUGCGGGUCUUGAGGAAGGUAGGCGCCGAGGGAACAGUAGGUGGAGCGGUGAAAUGCGUAGAUAUCUGGAGGAACACCGGUGGCGAAGGCGACAUCCUGGACCCGGUAUUGACGCUGAGGCGCGAAAGCCAGGG
rnacentral:rRNA from 1 species